UCCCUGGUGGUCCAGUUGGGCAAGACGCCUGCUCCCAAUGCAGGGGGACCAGGUUCGAUCCCUGGUCAGGGAA